rnacentral:rRNA from 1 species
CCUAAAAUCUAGCUUAUACCUCUUCACCCCCAUUUUAUAUUAACCAAAACAUUGUAAUUCUUUAGUAAUGGAGAUUGAAAAAUUAAUAAACGCUUUAAACCUAGUACCGUGAGGGAAGGAUGAAAUAAUAAUGAAAUAACACAAAGCCCUAUACAGCAAAGCUUACCCCUCGUACCUUUUGCAUCAUGACUGAGCCAGUUCAGCCAAGCAAAAAGCAAAUUUCAGCUUGUUGCCCCGAAACUAGGUGAGCUACUUCAAAACAAUCUGUAGGAUAAACCCGUCCCUGUUGCAAAAGGGUGGGAAGAUUUUCUAGUAGCGGUGAAAAGCUAAUCGAACCUAGAGAUAGCUGGUUUUCCAAGAAAAGAAUUUAAGUUCUACCUUAAGCUUAUGCAUUUUUCUAAACAGUAAAUUAAACUUAAGAGCCACUCAAAUAAGGUACAGCUUAUUUGACUUAGGACACAGCCUCAUGCUCUGGGUAAUAUUAUUAAUAAUCUCAAGUGGGCCUAAAAGCAGCCAAAAUAGCGUUAAAGCUUUCCUCAAUAUAAAUUUCUAAUUAUUCCACAACCCUUAUUUUCUAUUGGACGACUCCAUAAUAUUAUGGAAGACAUCAUGCUUAGACUAGUAACAAGAAUAUGUAAUUCUCCUAAAUGCUAGCGUAAGCCAUAACGGACUAACCAAUGGCAAUUAAGUGAUGACCCUACUACAACACCCCCCCCAAAACUUGUAGUUAUUAACAUUAACCUUACACAAGAACAUUCUAGGAAAGAUUAAAAGGAGGAGAAGGAACUCGGCAAACCUAACCCCGCCUGUUUACCAAAAACAUCGCCUUUGGUUUAAGCAUAAAAGGUCCAGCCUGCCCAGUGACUCUUAAACGGCCGCGGUACCCUAACCGUGCUAAGGUAGCACAAUUACUUGUCCCUUAAAUGGGGACUAGAAUGAAUGACAUCACGAGGGUUAAACUGUCUCCACCCCCCGAUCAGAGAAACUGACCUCCCCGUGAAAAGGCGGGAAUUGAAAUAUUAGACGAGAAGACCCCAUGGAACUUUAGACACCGAAUAAAUUUAAACUUUAUUCCUCAAUUCCUUAAAUUUAUACCUCUAAGUCUUCGGUUGGGGCGACCAUGGAGUAAAAAUUAACCUCCACGAUGAAUGAAUAAUUUCUUAUCCAAGAGAAACAUCUCCAAGAAACAGAAUACUGACACUCAAUGAUCCGAACCAUCGAUCAACGAAACAAGCUACCCUGGGGAUAACAGCGCAAUCUGCCUUUAAAGUUCAUAUUGACAGGCAGGUCUACGAGCGUGAUGUUGGAUAGGGGUACCCUAGCGUGAAGGAGGAGGUGUGGGC